UACGAAGGUCCCAAGCGUUAUCCGGAUUUAUUGGGUUUAAAGGGUGCGUAGGCGGGCUAUUAAGUCAGUGGUGAAAGCCCCAAGCUUAACUUGGGAACUGCCAUUGAUACUGAUGGUCUUGAGUACAUUUGAGGUGGGCGGAAUGUGUCAUGUAGCGGUGAAAUGCUUAGAUAUGACACAGAACACCGAUCGCGAAGGCAGCUCACUAAACUGUAACUGACGCUGAGGCACGAAAGCGUGGGGAGCAAACAGG
rnacentral:rRNA from 1 species